UUGACAGUGGUGUGCGACCGAGGGAAUCUCACAUCAGGAAUCGGACAUGAAGGUACUUCUCUACUCUGCUUGUCUGCUCGUCUGCGUGCUGUUAUCAUUGAGCGCUGCGUAUACCCUGCCAUGGGAAGAUGCUGAAGACUUCCAGGCCAAGAGGACGUACAACCCGUGUGCUGGGGUAUCAGAUUAUGACUGUUCACGCCACCUAAUGGGAGGUUGGAUCCGGAUAUUGAUGAGGCAAAAAUCCUAAACGACACCGGAAAUCAGUGAUGCAGAAAGACUUCUGAUUAUUAGCAUUUGUGUAAAAACAUGUGUAUGCAUUGGAUAAAAGUUAUUCAAA